AGUGGGGUUGUUAGGAAGAUAAACUGAGUUAAUGUACCAGAGGUGCAGAGACCAGUGUGCCACUCUGGAUCUGCCAUCACCAGCGUCUCCUUCAUCACCCUGCUGGGAGCAGCUUCGGAGCGAAAUCAGCGCCUGUCUUAAGAUCUGUGGUUUGGCUGUGGUUCUCCGGAACUCACUUGGGAUUGGCUCGAGGCUAAAUCCUCCUGCUACAUCCCCACGGUGAGGAGCCCGACCUUGUGGGAGAGAAGGAAAUCCCAGGCAAUCCCAGCCUCAUCAUGAAAGAACUGACUUGUUCUGCUCCAGAUCCACUGGUCACAUGAAGAAUUUCUCCAAACCUCUUAAACCUAGCAGUCUACAUUUUCUGCAUUUUCCAGGUAAGAGAAUCUACAUGUUAUCAACAGUGGUUGCUGUGGUUUCCCAAGGAAUAGAAUGGCAUCUGCUCACCAGAGUUCACGUGAUGACUGAGCAGUGUACAUUCUGCAGCAUGUAGGCAUUGGAUCGGAGCGACAGGUCCCAGGAUGCUCUACGUUGGACACGCUGCGACAUCUGCCAGCUCUUUGACACGGGACAGAAAAUCCAACUCAACCGAUCUGGAGCUGAAGAUGAGAUGGAUCCUACUCAAGACACAGGGAUAAGAGGGAUCUAUUUUCAAAGGAAACAAGACAGUCUUAGCAAAAGAAGAGAAAUGGAGGCGACUUUUUGGCAAAUACUGCAUCUUCAGCCAGGAGAAGUUGGCUGAGGACAAAAGGGCUUUUGAAGCGGUGUGGAAUUGCUGCAUUCUGUGGUAUGGAGAACCCUCCAUACUGUUCUCUACAGUAGGCUGCACCAACUCACAUUCCCACGAACAAGUGAGAUGUUUGCAGCUCUUACUACUAAGAAGUGGAAUCCACUGCAUCCCUCUUCUCACACCCCUUGAAUCUGGGUUGGCCCUGAGACUUAGAUGGGCCGAUACAAUGCUGAGGAAGCAAUGGUGUGCCAGUGCUAAACCUAGGCAUCAAGUGGCUCUGAAUACUUCAGCCCCUAUGCGAGCAAGCAAGCCUAGGCUGGCCUACCGCAGAGUGGAAGAUCACAUGCAAGGGAGACAAACCAUCCUGACUGAGGCCAUCCUGGACCAGCCAGCUCCUGCCUUACUAGCCAGCUGACCACAGACAUAAGGCCACUCUCCCCAAUGUCUGGUCACAUCCACGCAGAGAGAUGCAGCUCAGAAAUGAGAGGGGACCAGCAGCUGUGUGAGUCAACCGAACUGCAGAGUCUUCCGCCUGUGCCACCAAAAGCAAUCAGGCUGUGAAACUUUCCAGAGCGUUCCAUCUACCUCACACACUGUGCAAAUCGAGGGCUUCAGGAUACAUAGGUGAAAAUCACUUCCUCAUCAAAAUAUUUGCGGGCACUUUGAAAAGAUCACCGCCUCACAUGUGGAGUUUACUUCUGUGGGUGAAGGUGCACAGAGUCAACGUUAAGCACAUGACCUUGCUCCUUUUUAAGAUUAACAAAAGAAUGUGCAAAAGGAACUUAAGAUUCUUUCCAUCUAGUAUUAGCUGCCUGGAUCUUCAAAGUACCUCCAAGGGCACGUUCCGCCAAAAAGCAGAUGGUGGAAAAGCCCUCGUGUUCUUCCUGCUCUGUUGUCCAGUGACUGAGCCGUGUGCCUGACAGGUGUCCGAAUCUGAUUUUGUGUCACUCAGUGCAACCCUGCAUUAGCUGUGGCUGCCAAAGAAAUGACCUCAACAUUUAGCACCCGAAGGCAGCAGUGAACAUUUUCGGUCUCGGGGUCUGUAGGCCAGGAGCUCAGGAGCAGCUGAGGUGAGUGGUUUUGGCUCAGGGUCUCUCAGGAGAUGGUGCUCGAGAUGUCAGCCAAGAUUGCAGUCACCUGAAGGCUUGCCAAGCGCUAGAUUUGUUUGGAGGACUAUUUAUUUACCCAGCCAUCAAGUCCAUCCUUCAUGGGCUCACCACGUGCAUCUCUGCACUGAGCUGCUUGAAUGUCCUUAUACGUGACGACUGAUCCCCACAAUGCAAGUGAUCUAAGAGAGAACAAGGGGGAAGCCAUCAUAUGACCUGGUCUCGUUGUCAGUCAGGCUCCGUCACUUCGGUAAUGUCUUGUUGGUUGCAUAGGUCAACCCUAUUCAACGUAGGAGAGGACUACUCAGGGUAGGAAUACAGGAGGAGCGAAUCAGCAGGGGCCAUCUGAGAGUGGCUGCCACAGACUCCACAGCAGAGCUCCGGACUCAGGUACUGCUCUGGGUGGAAAAAGGCGUCGUUCCCACUCAACUCAUGGGGUAGAUGUAAGUCUAUGCUGAAUCAGAGACCUCAGGAGCAAAAUCACAGGCUAUCUCACCAUUUUUCUGUUAAUGUGUGUCUGUCUCAUCCAGGGAAUAUAAAGACCUCUGUUUCUCAUUUAGUCAUUUAUUAAUCCUUUCAUGUAACAAAAAUUUACCGAGGAUCUACUACCUGUCGGGCACUGUGAUAAGUAUUCGGUAACAGCAAUAAAAAGCACAUCUAGAAUGUACCCUCCAGGAUUCCACUGCCACCUUUCACAGAAGGGUACCAGUGAAGUACCGUUUCCUCUUGGAAAGUUCUCCUAACAUUCUAGGUUUGUGGCUCUUUAUUUUGUCCUUAGGGAAAACCUGACUUGUUCGAGGGUCUUACCCCAAUUGCCAUGCUCUCUAAGGAUCAAAGAACGACCAGACCCAGGAAAAUGUUAGGCAGAUAAGAUACAUUUCCCAACCAGUGCAGGGAAGAACAUUUUGGAAAAGGUCACCUGAACAAGCACAGAUCUACAAAAGGUGCAGUAUUUACAACUGUUACCGUAGAGAUGAUACCUGGUCUCCAGUUUUCAGGAUCCAGCUCAUAACAGUACCUUGGGUAUUGAAGUGCAUGUUUUACGCUAUCGUAAAACUGGACGUGUUAAUCAUGUCCUUUGAGUAAAAAUAUUGCACUAAUAUAAGAAGUGACUGAAAUAGGAGUUCCCUGGUGGCCUACCAGGUUGAGGAUCUGGCUUUGUCCCUGCCAUGGUGUGUGUUCAAUCCCUAGCCCGGGACUUUCCCCAUGCCUUGGACACAACCAAAAAAA
rnacentral:lncRNA from 1 species